CGAGAGUUUUGACUCAAGUGGCGGACGGGUGAGUAACACGUAAGAAUUUGCCUUUAGGAGGGGGACAACAGCUGGAAACGGCUGCUAAUACCCCAUAUGCUUUCGAGUGAAAUGGAUUUUUCCGCCUAGAGAGAAGCUUGCGGCUGAUUAGCUUGUUGGUAAGGUAAUGGCUUACCAAGGCGACGAUCAGUAUCUGGUUUGAGAGGACGAUCAGACACACUGGAACUGAGACACGGUCCAGACUCCUACGGGAGGCAGCAGUGGGGAAUUUUCCGCAAUGGGCGAAAGCCUGACGGAGCAAUACCGCGUGAGGGAUGACGGCCUAUGGGUUGUAAACCUCUUUUUUCAGGGAGGAAACAAAUGACGUUACCUGAAGAAUAAGCAUCGGCUAACUCCGUGCCAGCAGCCGCGGUAAGACGGAGGAUGCAAGUGUUAUCCGGAAUCACUGGGCGUAAAGCGUCUGUAGGUGGUUGAAUAAGUCAACUGUUAAAUCUUGAGGCUCAACCUCAAAACCGCAGUCGAAACUAUUCGACUAGAGUAUAGUAGGGGUAAAGGGAAUUUCCAGUGGAGCGGUGAAAUGCGUAGAGAUUGGAAAGAACACCGAUGGCGAAGGCACUUUACUGGGCUAUUACUAACACUGAGAGACGAAAGCUAGGGUAGCAAAUGGGAUUAGAUACCCCAGUAGUCCUAGCCGUAAACAAUGGAUACUAGAUGUUGAACAGAUCGACCUGUGCAGUAUUAAAGCUAACGCGUUAAGUAUCCCGCCUGGAGUAUGCUCGCAGAGUGAAACUCA
rnacentral:rRNA from 1 species